rnacentral:misc_RNA from 1 species
AGAAUUUAAGAAACCGUCCACCUUAGCAUUUUGGUUCUUGGAAAGAAAUUUCAUGCAGAGUGGUGGCUUAGCACCUGCCAAGGACAGUAUGGAGCUACGCAAAGUCCAUAUCCCAUCGCCACAAAUCACCCCAGAAGCUACAGCAGGCCCAAAUGCAUCGGCCUUGGCCUUGUUAAUCUUCCGCCAGAUGUAUAACAUCAAGCUCCCAACACACAUGUCAAUGGCAAAGUAGCCUCCAAUGUAGAAGGGUAUCGCCAUUGCCAUUGGAAGAGGGAUAAACCGAGCUCUUUUCUUUCCCACUGCGUCUCUCAUGCCAUUGAUAACUACAGCUGCAACGAAGAAUAUGUAACAGAGCGUAAGACAGUGCUUUGGCAAGGCUGAGAACCCCUCGACCCCUAGAAUCGACAUAUUUCGAUAAACAAGAGCAAAAGGA